UACGUAGGGGGCAAGCGUUGUCCGGAAUCAUUGGGCGUAAAGAGCGUGUAGGCGGCCAGAUAAGUCCGCUGUGAAAUCUCGAGGCUCAACUUCGAGCUGUCGGUGGAAACUGUCUGGCUAGAGUCCGGAAGAGGAGAAUGGAAUUCCUGGUGUAGCGGUGAAAUGCGCAGAUAUCAGGAGGAACGCCGAUGGCGAAGGCAGCUCGCUGGGACGGUACUGACGCUGAGACGCGAAAGCGUGGGGAGCAAACAGG
rnacentral:rRNA from 1 species